UGAAAUUGAAUUUCUGGAUAGGUGAGUUUAGCUCACGGUUUUGAAGGUUUUCUUUAGUUCUUUUGCUUGUUUUAUAAUAUGUUUAAACUAUAAACUUACUUGAGGCUAAGUAUAAGGUUUUUUUAUGAUUUUAUGAUGGCAAAAGAGAGGGGUAAUUGAGUACAAGAACCUGAAAGAAACCAACAGGAAUAGAGAUGUGUUGAUUGAUGAAUUUGGAUGGUUUAAACUUUGAUUUUGGAUAAUACUGAAGAUAUAACUUGUAUCUAUGUAAAUGAAUGUUGUUAUAUGGGAUUUAGAAGGAUAUAAAUGGUCUUCUAAUAGGCUGAAAUCUGUUUGAUGACAUGCUAAUAAAAUGGAAACCGAAAGCUGUCACAAUGAAAACUGCCUGAUUUUGAUGUCGUGGAAAUGGACUAUUUUGAUGCUGAGAACACUUGAUUUGUCACGACUUUAGAGCAUUAUUGCCUUCACAUACAUGUUAUAGAAACGUGUUAAAAAAUUUGGGAGACAUUGGAUAUGGAUAAGGGGGUGAAAAUGGAUUGGAAAAGUAGUUGGACGGUGAUGAAACCUGAAAAACAGGUUCUGUCCAUUUAUGUGUUUAAUAUGAUUUCAACCUUUACAUGUAAAUUAAUUAUCUCUUGGGCCUAGGGAGUAUUAGAUUGCUGACAACAAUUGGAUGACGUUGAUGUUGGUAUUUGGACUCGAGGAAAAAUGAGACUUAUGGGACGAGAUUGUAAUGCCGUUAGUAACUUGAAUAAUGAAUUCGUUUAAAUUAUUUUGACGUGAAUGGAAGUAUUUUGGGAUUUUGUGUGUGUUAAGGCUAUUAAAUGGAGGAUUGUCUUUAAUAUUAAAUGGUAAUACAGGUGAUUUUCCAACGUUGAGUGAAAAAGGAAAGUGAUAUAAUCUCUGUAAGAGCUUGUGCACACACAAGGGCAAAAAGGUAAGUGAAAAUCCAUUUGCAACUACGAUGAAGAACCUAGCAUUUGUGGUAUAGUGAUGUUAGGAUUUUUUCAUACUUUGAUAAGAAAGCUCGUUGUACCCUAUAUGAUGAUUAUGAUCAUUGAGUAUGCUGUUGCAAAAUACAUUGACAUCAACUUCCAUUAAGCAUGUCAUUCAUGAGCACUUUCGUUGGCAUGCACGACAUGUAACAUGGUUGAAAACUUUGCAUGCGAAACAUGACUUCAAAGUGAGUUUCAUCAUAAAUGUUUUAUUGACCACUACUAGGGCACCGAGGCAUGCUUAUGUGAUACGUUUGGCAUCGCGGGUGUUACUUCCUGGGUGAUUGUAAAGGUAGAUUGGGGAUGGGCCUUUGGUGAUCACGGGAGGGCGGACCACUCGACUGUGCCCUUGCGAUAUUAUGAUUAUUGGCGCUGUCGGGUGGGAGACUUCUUGGGUGAUCAUAGGGGUAGUUAGGGGAUGGGCCUCUAGCGGUCACGAGAGGAUGGUCCACUUGUCGGUGUCGAUUUCAUACUGGCCAUUUGAUUAUUGAUAUUGAUAUUAUGCAGAGCUCUAUCCGGUGCAUAGUAGGUGGGUCAAGGGCCCAAUGAAAUGAAAGAUUUCAAGUGAAAUGAUUUCUAGUCGACUUUGACGAAUAUUGAAAUAUGAUACUUUUUAUCGUGAUAUUUAAAGUAAAUGGCAUGGUGUCAUAUGUCGUUAUUACUCAUGUUCAAGACAUGCAUGAUUUUGCUUACUAAGCAUUGGUUUAUGUAGUUCUUGCAUUGUAGGUGAACAUGGAACUACGUAGAGAGCAUGGCUAGCUGUGGAGCUCCUACAGGAUUCCAGAGUUCGAUGUACAUGGAUGACGACCUGUAGGGUUAUUUUCUAGGCUGCCAUCUGUAGGGUUAUAUUUUGGAAUCCUAUAUAGUGUACUUUUGAAAUGGUCUGUAGACAUGUUUAUAAGCUCCGAAUGUAUAUGUUGGAUUAUGGCGAUAUGAUUUUAGGUUUCAAUAUAUUAUAUGAUCAUGUCACAGGUGAUUAGAAGUUAACAAACUUGAAAAAGAAUAUAUAUGUAAAAUUCUAUGUCUAGGUUGUGUAUAGAUGUCAAUAUUAAUUUCGGGGUGUGACAGAGAGCUCUGCAUAGUUGGUGGGUCAAGGGCCCAAUGAAUACUCAUGACAUGCAUGAUUCUUGCUUACUAAGCAUUGGCUUAUGUAGUUCUUGCAUUUUAGGUAAGCAUGGAACUAUGUAGAGGGCAUGGCUAGCUGUGGAGCUCUUACGGGAUUCCAAAGAUCAAUGUACAUGGAUGACGACCUGUAGGGUUAUUUUGU
rnacentral:lncRNA from 1 species